rnacentral:rRNA from 1 species
AGCAGCCGCGGUAAUUCCAGCUCCAAUAGCGUAUAUUAAAGUUGUUGCAGUUAAAAAGCUCGUAGUUGAACUUCGGGGUCUACCCAUUGGUCAGGCUUAAUUGUCUGCACUGGUGAGAUGGAUCUCUUACCUUCUGAGGAACUUUCAUGCCAUUUAUUUGGUGUGGUUGGAAAUCAGGACUGUUACUUUGAAAAAUUAGAGUGUUUAAAGCAGACUAUCGUCUGAAUACAUUAGCAUGGAAUAAUGAAAUAGGACGGACUGAUUCUAUUUCGUUGGUUUCUAGGAUCACCGUAAUGAUUAAUAGGGAUAGUUGGGGGCAUUAGUAUUCAAUUGUCAGAGGUGAAAUUCUUGGAUUUAUUGAGGACUAACUACUGCGAAAGCAUUUGCCAAGGAUGUUUUCAUUAAUCAAGAACGAAAGUUAGGGGAUCGAAGACGAUCAGAUACCGUCGUAGUCUUAACCCAUAAACCUAUGCCGACUAGGGAUCGGACGAAGUUAAUUUUAUAAUGACGCGUUCGG